GACUUCCUUCGGGAAGUGUAUAAAGUGGCGCACGGGUGAGUAACACGUAAGUAAUCUACCUUCGAGUGGGGAAUAACGUCCGGAAACGGACGCUAAUACCGCAUAAUGCAGCGGCAUCGUAAGAUGACAGUUGUUAAAGAUUUAUCGCUUGAAGAGGAGCUUGCGGCAGAUUAGCUAGUUGGUAAGGUAAUGGCUUACCAAGGCUACGAUCUGUAACCGGUCUAAGAGGACGGUCGGUCACACUGACACUGAAUAACGGGUCAGACUCCUACGGGAGGCAGCAGUCGGGAAUUUUGGGCAAUGGGCGAAAGCCUGACCCAGCAACGCCGCGUGAAGGAUGAAGUAUUUCGGUAUGUAAACUUCGAAAGAAUGGGAAGAAUAAAUGACGGUACCAUUUAUAAGCUCCGGCUAACUACGUGCCAGCAGCCGCGGUAAUACGUAGGGAGCAAGCGUUGUUCGGAUUUACUGGGCGUAAAGGGCGCGUAGGCGGCAAUUCAAGUCAUCUGUGAAAUCUCCGGGCUUAACUCGGAACGGUCAGAUGAUACUGUCUUGCUAGAGUGCAGAAGGGGCAAUCGGAAUUCUUGGUGUAGCGGUGAAAUGCGUAGAUAUCAAGAGGAACACCUGAGGUGAAGACGGGUUGCUGGGCUGACACUGACGCUGAGGCGCGAAAGCCAGGGGAGCAAACGGGAUUAGAUACCCCGGUAGUCCUGGCCCUAAACGAUGAAU
rnacentral:rRNA from 1 species